rnacentral:rRNA from 1 species
GACAGAGGUGGCAAGCGUUGUUCGGAUUUACUGGGCGUAAAGAGCUCGUAGGCGGUCGCGUAAGUCAGAUGUGAAAUCCUAGGGCUUAACCCUGGAAUGGCAUUUGAAACUGCGCAACUUGAGGACAGGAGGGGGAAGUGGAAUUCCCGGUGUAGCGGUGAAAUGCGUAGAUAUCGGGAAGAACAUCUGUGGCGAAGGCGGCUUCCUGGACUGUCCCUGACGCUGAGGAGCGAAAGCGUGGGUAGCAAACAGGAUUAGAUACCCUGGUAGUCCACGCCCUAAACGAUGAAUGCUAAGUGCUGGGGGUAUUGAUCCCCUCGGUGCCGCACCUAACGGAGUAAGCAUUCCGCCUGGGGAGUACGGCCGCAAGGUUG